rnacentral:rRNA from 1 species
UAAAAUUUAUAAAAUUAGGUAAUAAAGAAAUUUCUGAAACCUAAAGAAUUUGGCGGUAUUUUAAAUAAUUGGAGGAACCUGUUAUUUAAUUGACAAUCCACAACAUAUCUUUCCUAAAUUUUAUUUGUAUAUCGUCGUUUUGAUAAUAUUUAAAAAUUAUGAUCAAUAUUAAUAAAUUUUUAUAAAUCAGAUCAAGGUGCAGUAUAUUUAGGUUAUAAUGGGUUACAAUAUAAGUAUAUACAAAUGGAUACAAACUUGAAAUUAUGUUGAAAGUGGAUUCAAAAGUAAUAUUAAAUUAAAAUGUUAAUUUGAUUUAUAAUUUAAAAUAUGC